GACGAACGCUGGCGGCGUGCUUAACACAUGCAAGUCGAACGGUAAGGCCCUUCGGGGUACACGAGUGGCGAACGGGUGAGUAACACGUGGGUGAUCUGCCCUGCACUUCGGGAUAAGCCUGGGAAACUGGGUCUAAUACCGGAUAGGACCACUGCCUGCAUGGGUGGGGGUGGAAAGCUUUUGCGGUGUGGGAUGGGCCGGCGGCAUAGCAGCUUGAUGGUGGGGUGGUGGCGUACCAAGGCGACGCCGGGUAGCCGGCCUGAGAGGGUGACCGGCCACACUGGGACUGAGGUACGGCGCAGACUCCUACGGGAGGCAGCAGUGGGGAAUAUUGCACAAUGGGCGCAAGCCUGAUGCAGCGACGCCGCGUGAGGGAUGACGGCCUUCGGGUUGUAAACCUCUUUCAGCACCGACGAAGCGCAAGUGACGGUAGGUGCAGAAGAAGGACCGGCCAACUACGUGCCAGCCGCCGCGGUAA
rnacentral:rRNA from 1 species